rnacentral:misc_RNA from 1 species
GAUGAAGAACGUAGCGAAAUGCGAUACGUAAUGUGAAUUGCAGAAUUCAGUGAAUCAUCGAGUCUUUGAACGCACAUUGCGCCCCCUGGUAUUCCGGGGGGCAUGCCUGUCCGAGCGUCAUUACAACCCUCAAGCUCUGCUUGGUGUUGGGCCCCGCCGCCCCGGCGGGCCCUAAAGUCAGUGGCGGUGCCAUCCGGCUCCGAGCGUAGUAAUUCUUCUCGCUCUGGAGGUCCGGUUGUGUGCUUGCCAUCAACCCCCAAUUUUUUUCAGGUUGACCUCGGAUCAGGUAGGGAUACCCGCUGAACUUAAGCAUAUCAAUAAGCGGAGGA